AGAGCGAACGCUGGCGGCAGGCUUAACACAUGCAAGUCGAGCGGGCGUAGCAAUACGUCAGCGGCAGACGGGUGAGUAACGCGUGGGAACGUACCUUUUGGUUCGGAACAACACAGGGAAACUUGUGCUAAUACCGGAUAAGCCCUUACGGGGAAAGAUUUAUCGCCGAAAGAUCGGCCCGCGUCUGAUUAGCUAGUUGGUAGGGUAAUGGCCUACCAAGGCGACGAUCAGUAGCUGGUCUGAGAGGAUGAUCAGCCACAUUGGGACUGAGACACGGCCCAAACUCCUACGGGAGGCAGCAGUGGGGAAUAUUGGACAAUGGGGGCAACCCUGAUCCAGCCAUGCCGCGUGAGUGAUGAAGGCCCUAGGGUUGUAAAGCUCUUUUGUGCGGGAAGAUAAUGACGGUACCGCAAGAAUAAGC
rnacentral:rRNA from 1 species